AUGGGCUUGCUUGGAGAUGCACGAUGUUGCGAUCCAAGGAGUUUGCCGUAUGUGAAGACUGAUGUGACAAAUGCAAGAGCAAAACUGCGAAGGGGCCUGUCAGAGCAUGAUUUGGACCUGACAAUCGAGUACUUUGAGAGAAGUCAAGUGGAGAAUCCCAACUUAUUUUUCUCGAAGCUAGAAGAAGAUGGAGCUGUUAGGGCGCUUUUCUGGGUUGAUGGGAGAACAAGGGCCUUGUAUCCAAAGUACAAAGAUUGUGUGUUUUUCGACACCACAUUCUGCACGAAUCGCUACAACUUGCCCUUUACUCCGAUUGUUGGCAUUAACAACCACACACAUACUAUUUGCUUGGGGUGCGCUUUGUUGCCUGAUGAGACCAUCGAAACUUUCAAGUGGGUCUUCCAGCAAUGGAUGUUGGCAAUGAAUAACGAGCAUCCAUUGAACAUUAUGACUGAUCAAGACCAGGCAAUGGCUACAACCAUCUCAAUGGUAUUUCCAGAUUCAACACACAGAUGUUGCGAGUGGCACGUCUUCCGGGUUGCAGGGACAAAACUAGGAAAGAUGCUGGGAAAGGAUGAGCCUUUUGCUGAAGCAUUUCUAUGGUUGCAUCAAUGA
rnacentral:rRNA from 1 species